UUUUAUAUGAGAGUUUGAUCCUGGCUCAGGAUGAACGCCGGCGGUGUGCCUAAUACAUGCAAGUCGUACGCACUGGCCCAACUGAUUGAUGGUGCUUGCACCUGAUUGACGAUGGAUUACCAAAGAAGUGGCGGACGGGUGAGUAACACGUAGGUAACAUGCCCCGGAGCUGGAGAUAACCUGUGGAAACAGAUGCUAAUACAGCAUAACAACAAAAACA
rnacentral:rRNA from 1 species